ACCAGUGUGGCUCAGUGGACAGAGCGUUGUCCUGCAGACUCAAAGAUCCCAGGUUCGAUUCCGGUCAAGGGCAUGUACCUUGGUUGUGGGCACAUCCCCAGUAGUGGGUGUGCAGGAGGCAGCUGAUUGAUGUUUCUUUCUCAUCGAUGUUUCUAACUCUCUAUCCCUCUC